ensembl:rRNA 5S_rRNA 5S ribosomal RNA
GUCUACAGCCAUACCACCCCGAACGCGCCUGAUCUCGUCUGAUCUUGGAAGCUAAGCAGGGUCGGGCCUGGUUAGUACUUGGAUGGGAGAAUGCUCAGGGUCACAACGCGACUAAAGGAC